rnacentral:lncRNA from 1 species
AUUGGUUCAAAUUCAUAGCAUGCGAUAACAUCAGGACCACCCCCCUAGCAUCAGGGGGUUUAGCCUCUCAUAGUACUUAAAGAACUCAUAAUGUAAAGAUUAGACAUUACAAAGAAUUAGGAGAGUUUGAUCUUCAAUGGUUGAUGCCCUUGAAUCUCGCCGUCUUCAAAUCCUUCGUAUUCGCUAUCUUCUCCAAUGCAAUGUUUUCUUUCGUCUGUCAAAAGGUGCCUUCUUCUUUC